UGAACGCUAGCUACAGGCUUAACACAUGCAAGUCGAGGGGAAACGACAUCGAAAGCUUGCUUUGGUGGGCGUCGACCGGCGCACGGGUGAGUAACGCGUAUCCAACCUGCCCACCACUUGGGGAUAACCUUGCGAAAGUAAGACUAAUACCCAAUGAUAUCCCACGAAGGCAUCGGAAUGGGAUUUAAAGAUUUAUCGGUGAUGGAUGGGGAUGCGUCUGAUUAGCUUGUUGGCGGGGUAACGGCCCACCAAGGCAACGAUCAGUAGGGGGUUCUGAGAGGAAGGUCCCCCCACAUUGGAACUGAGACACGGUCCAAACUCCUACGGGAGGCAGCAGUGAGGAAUAUUGGUCAAUGGGGCGAGAGCCUGAACCAGCCAAGUAGCGUGCAGGAUGACGGCCCUAUGGGUUGUAAACUGCUUUUAUAAGGGAAUAAAGUGAGUCUCCGUGAGACUUUUUGCAUGUACCUUAUGAAUAAGGACCGGCUAAUUCCGUG
rnacentral:rRNA from 1 species